rnacentral:miRNA from 1 species
UGCAUAUUUUGUUAAGAAGAUAUUAUUAAAAGUUGUUCGUCUUGAUGAGGGCUACAACUUGCUUAAUAUCUUUUUAACAAAUUAUGCGUAUUUAAGGAGAUUCGUCUACGCAUGCGCAGUAGCGUAACUCUUUACGCUUGCAUAUUUUGUUAAGAAGAUAUUAAUAAAAGUUGUUCGCCUUGAUGAGGGCUACAACUCUGCUUAAUAUCUUUUUAACAAAUUAUACG